rnacentral:rRNA from 1 species
AUUUGACCUCAAUCAGGUAGGACUACCCGCUGAACUUAAGCAU